rnacentral:rRNA from 1 species
GAUGAACGCUAGCGACAGGCUUAACACAUGCAAGUCGAGGGGCAGCAGGGGAGUAGCAAUACUCCCGCUGGCGACCGGCGCACGGGUGAGUAACACGUAUGCAACCUGCCCUUGUCAGGGGGAUAAGCGGAAGAAAUUCCGUCUAAUACCGCAUAAUGCUGCGGGGAGACAUCUCCCUGCAGCCAAAGAUUUAUCGGACAAGGAUGGGCAUGCGGCGCAUUAGCUUGUUGGCGGGGUAACGGCCCACCAGGGCGACGAUGCGUAGGGGUUCUGAGAGGAAGGUCCCCCACACUGGUACUGAGACACGGACCAGACUCCUACGGGAGGCAGCAGUGAGGAAUAUUGGUCAAUGGCCGGGAGGCUGAACCAGCCAAGUCGCGUGAGGGAAGACGGUCCUAUGGAUUGUAAACCUCUUUUGUCAGGGAGCAAAAACUGCCACGUGUGGCAGGAUGAGAGUACCUGAAGAAAAAGCAUCGGCUAACUCCGUGCCAGCAGCCGCGGUAAUACGGAGGAUGCGAGCGUUAUCCGGAUUUAUUGGGUUUAAAGGGUGCGUAGGCGGACAGUUAAGUCAGCGGUAAAAUUGAGAGGCUCAACCUCUUCCCGCCGUUGAAACUGAUUGUCUUGAGUGGGCGAGAAGUAUGCGGAAUGCGUGGUGUAGCGGUGAAAUGCAUAGAUAUCACGCAGAACUCCGAUUGCGAAGGCAGCAUACCGGCGCCCAACUGACGCUGAAGCACGAAAGCGUGGGUAUCGAACAGGAUUAGAUACCCUGGUAGUCCACGCAGUAAACGAUGAAUACUAAUUGUUCGGGUCAAAUGAGAUCUGAGUGAUACAGCGAAAGCGUUAAGUAUUCCACCUGGGGAGUACGCCGGCAACGGUGAAACUCAAAGGAAUUGACGGGGGCCCGCACAAGCGGAGGAACAUGUGGUUUAAUUCGAUGAUACGCGAGGAACCUUACCCGGGCUCAAACGACACAGGAAUGAUCUGAGAAAUCAGGCAGUCCUCCGGGACCUGUGUCGAGGUGCUGCAUGGUUGUCGUCAGCUCGUGCCGUGAGGUGUCGGCUUAAGUGCCAUAACGAGCGCAACCCCCAUCGACAGUUGCCAGCAGGUCAAGCUGGGCACUCUGUCGAGACUGCCGGCGCAAGCUGUGAGGAAGGCGGGGAUGACGUCAAAUCAGCACGGCCCUUACGUCCGGGGCGACACACGUGUUACAAUGGCAGGUACAGCGGGAAGCCACCUGGCGACAGGGAGCGGAACCCGAAAGCCUGUCUCAGUUCGGAUUGGAGUCUGCAACUCGACUCCAUGAAGCUGGAUUCGCUAGUAAUCGCGCAUCAGCCACGGCGCGGUGAAUACGUUCCCGGGCCU